AAUAAAUAAACAUUAAACAAAAUUUUUUUUUAAUUAAAAAAAAAUGGAACUUAGGUUACCAUAGAAUUUUGUCUGCUGUCACAUACACUGGAACUUCUUAGGGUUGGGGAUGUUGUUUUAGCUAUGUGUCCUCCAUACCCUGCACUCAGGAGCAGCUCAGUAAAUCAUGUAGGUGCUUUUCACAAGCAGGCUCUCUAAUCACCAUGGCAACCUUGCAAACUAGACAGUGUUUUUUCCCAAAUGAAGUCUCAGGUUAAGCAACUUGCCCCAAGUCAGAUAUGCUUAGUUUCCAAGGCAGAACUCUUUCCACAGUGUCUAAAGUAUGUCUGAUGUUUGCAUGCUCAAAACAAACACAAAACAAAACAAAUCCCACUCUGCUUCAUAGAAGCAGCAUUACCUGGACCUAAUCCCACCUCUCGGGGAACCGAAUGGUUUUUUGGGAGCCCUCUACCUGGGCAAACACCCCCACCUUCUCUGAAUUUCGGUUUCCUCCACUGUCAUGGGGUUGAUACUAAUAGCUUCCUUCUUAGGCUGACAGAGAUAACACACACAAGGCACGCAGCGCUGUGAUAAGUCACCGUCCUUCCUGGGUGCCCUGCCCUGUCGACUUGCCGCUCAGAUGCCUCCUCCACACCAGGGGCUGAGAAGCGCUGGCUGGGGCGGGGCAGGGGGCGGAGCCUGGUCCCUCCUGACUGUCCUCCAGAAUCACACAUCUGGCCCCUCAGGGUGGGAGUGGGAAGGAAGCCAGGCUCCCUGGACGCUGAUGAAACGUGUCUGUUGUGGGCCUGUUGGGCAACGCUGAAACUGGGGAGGAAGGAACAGCAACCGCUGAGUCUCCUGCUGGGUCCGAGGAGGCUUGAGCAACGCCCCCAGCAGUUGCCUCAUCUCUGCCAAGCAGGGUGAUGAUGCCCCAGGGUGGGGUGUUGCACCAUGUUCUUAGAAAGCUGCCUCUGUACAUGCAUUUCCAUUUGGGGCCUGGACUGGUUUUGUUUAAUCAUUGUCUUUUUCACUUCCAAAUUUCUGAGGGCAAAUUGGGAGACCAUGAUGUGGUGAAAUGAUCAUUAGCCAACUUUCCCUGAGUACUUACUCCACAUCCUGUACUGUGCUAAAUCCCUUCAUGUACGUGAUCUCGUGGAAUGCACACACCAACCCUCUCAGUUACCCACGGUCAAGCUCCCAAAGCAGAUGAUCCUCCUUACAAGGUAUCGGCAGAAGAUCAGAAGUGGCCUAACACGACGUCACAGUGCCUACGUCAUUCGCCUCAUCACAUCUCAUCACGUGGGCCUUUUAUCAUCUCACAUCAUCACAGGAACAAGGGUGCUGAGCGAGGCCCCGCGCACGUCGUCCUCCGACCUCUCCACGUGCUUACAAGGUUAGCUGUCCUUCCCCCAUUUAACAGGUAAGCAACCGGCGGCUUCAGGGGGAGUCAUGUCACACAAGGGCACAUAAGUGCCAGCUCUUGAAUUCUCCAGUCUUUGAGAGUGGAAGCUUUUUCUUUUUAUCUCUUUUGGCCUUUGCUGAUGCCUGGUGAUAGGACUUUCUACAACUGGGCCAACUUCCCCUGUCGGGCUCUUUACCAAACAUUCCAGGUAGACUUAUCACCCUGUGAUAACAUGGGAAGUUCUCAUUCAUUCCAUCUGUAUCAAAGCCUAAAAACAAAACAAACAGGAAACUGUAUUCAUAAAAAAAUAUAUAUGAAUUCAACUGUAUCGAUCAAAAAAAAGUCUGUAGAAUUGUUAAAAAUGUAUUUACAAAUUCCUUUUUCCUCUGUGCUUCAUUAGUGCAAAUGACAUACCCCGUUCUGGUAUCAGGGCUGGGACUCUUGCCGCCCAGCUGCUGUCUCUGCAUCCUGGCCAUCCCACUGCUCACUGAUGCCUCUCUGGACAGGGUUGAGGCUGUGUGCUGGCCCAGUGGGCAGAAACGAGUAAGACCCAGGCUGCUGGGGGCAAUCAGGCAUGCUCAUUAAGUAGCAAUGAAUGCAGGGCCUACUCUGAGAAGUGCUGUGAGGAAGGCUUAGACAAAAGGCGUGAGAGUGCAGAGAAGGAAAAAGGCCUUUCUGUCUCAGGGAAUCAGCAAGGCUGAAAGAUGGGUAGGAAACAGAUGGGGGAACACCGUGAGGAGGGCCGAGGGCCCAACUUCUUUCUCACCAUCAUUGCUGCUACCACGGGUGGCCAUGUGCCAAGCUCUGUGCCAGGCACCUUAUCCACAUUACAUCACUUACUCCUCAGAGCAACCCACUGAGGCUGUUACUGCUACCGCCCCCUCCUUUCGGAUGAGCAAUCUGAAGCUCCUUGCCCAAGGUCACACAGGUAAGUUCCAGAAGAAGGCUUUGAAUCCAGGUCUAUCAGAAGCCAGAGCCCCUGCUCUUAGAGUGAUUUACCAUUUUCAGAGAACUUUCAAAUUCGUUAUCCCAUCUGAUCUUCCUGUACCCAGAGUUUCUCUAUGUCUCACCAGCCUGUUGGCACAAAUGAGUCACCCUACCGGUAACAGUGUGAAUUUUACUUGCCCUCCCCCUCCCCCUCCCUUUGCUCACUUUGGUUCUCUGGCCACCUGCAAAGCCUCACCCACCUCUAGCGAGAGUCCCAGGGGGUAUCUAUGGUCACCUUUUCCUGCACUGCUCCUCCGUUAAAGCUCACUGCCCAAGAAGGUCAUGGAAGGUCCCACCCAAUCUGUCCCCUUUGAGAAUCCUUCCCCAGCAAGCCGAGGCUCAGGACCCUGCACGAGGUGUGUGACCUCAGCUCAGCUACCCCUGGCCCACCCCCAUGAGCCUCAGUUUUCUUAUCCGGGAAAGCAGAGAGGUUAGUUCAGUUCCACAUGUGUUCCCUGAGCAGCGGCUAAAUAUAACGGUGAACCAUGGAACCAAAGGAAAGGGGUGAAUCGAGCCAGGCCCUCGAUAAGACACACACAUAAGCAAUUAUACCCCCAAGACCCAUGUGCAGGGCGUAAGGGCCACAAGGGAAUCAAACUGUUGUGGGAAGGGCUGUUUCUGGCUGGUGAGAGGCCCAUAUGGCAGCCAUUCAUGGAGGCCUUAACAUACACCAGAUCCCAGCUCAGAGCUUUACCCGCAUUAACCCAUUUAAUCCUCCCCCAAAGCCAGUUGAGACAAAGACAGAAUUAUCCCCAUGUCAGAGAGGAAACUGAGGCUCAGGGAGGUGAAGUCAUUUGCCCAAGGUCACACAGUUAAGUAAGUGGUGGCAGAAUUGGUCUGACAGCCCCUAGCUCUUAAUUGCUAUCUUCGCAGAAGUGGGGUCAGUAAAUCUUGGCUUUGUAAACCAGCUCAGUCCUGAUACUGCUCAGAUCAAUCCUUCCCGUGUUAUGAUUGUAGAAUCACACAUUGUUUCCCCAUCUGCACAGUCAGCUGGAACAAAAGUCCCUGGAGCUCAAGUCAAACUAUGGGGACCAACUCUGAAAUCAUGGAAAAACCUCAAGUGGACGGUCAGGGCUGUUUCAUUGGAAAGUUUUUCUCCUGUGCAGUUUUCAGAAAACUUGGGAGCCCUGUGUCCCUUGUUCGUGCUAGACCUCGGCCUGCGAUGGUGUCUGGCUGAUCAACGAUAGUCAUAACCAUGAGUAUCAUGGAGAGCGCUUCACAUGCACCGCCUCAUUUCAUCUUGAUGACAGUACACAGUGAUAUUCCAUCUCCGUUUUACAGAGAAGAGAACCCGGUCUUGAAAAGAAGAAGCCUCUUUCUGGAGGUGACCCAGGCAGUAAGUGGCUGGUCCCUGAAACAGGUCUGGUGACCCUAAAACCUGCCCUCUUAAUGAUGACUUGAAUGCGUUGCUCAUUUUCCGUUCUCGGGGAUUCUCAACCGAGGCUGCUCAUUCACAAUACCUGGGAUACUAUUUAGAAUACUAUGGUGAGGCCCAUCCCAGACCAAUUAAAUCAGUCUCUGGGAAUGGACUCAGGUUGAAAACCUUGCCUCUAGGACAUGCCUGGCAUUCUACCAAGAGCCUCAGCCAGACCUGGAACUUCAGAGAGAAUUGGACAGUGGGAGGGGGAGAGAGGAAGGUUACCUGAUUCUUCUUCUCCUCCCUUCCCCUUCCAUCUCCUCCUUUUCCAGCCAACCGAAGGACUGGCCUCAGCCUUUCUCUUGAUCUGAGAUCAUUUGGCCUUUGGGAUAAGAUUUCUAUGUGACCCCUCCCCUACACUGUGCCUCAUAAGCCUGGCACAUAAUAGGUGCUCAGUAAACAUAAUAGGUGGUGAACAGAUCGUGAAGAGAACCCUCCAGCCAUUCCUUCCAGGCAGGUGAAAUUGCAUGGAUCUAUUCUGCUGGAGUUCAAAGAACUUGCACAACCGGAAGGAGACUUGCCCACUCCGGCAGGUAGCAAGAUGCUCCCAUCAGCCAUGCAUGAAGGUGCCCUUUGCACCAUCUCUUUCCCAGUAAUAGGUAUUAACUUAAAAAAAGAGAUCCUUUCUAAUUUAAUGGGUAGAAAACAAUCUCGGUUUUGGUUUGAAUUUACAUUUCUUUGAAUACUGGUGAGGACGAACAUUUUUUUCAUGUGCUUAUUAGUCAUUUGUAUUGCUUCUUCUGUGAAUUGUCUGUUCCCAAUUUACUAAUUUACAACGAGAAAUGUAACUGCCAAGGGGACCGGAUACACGUGUCCUCCAGCCAACACACCAGCUCCCUGUAGGCACACUCCUCAGGAUGCCAAACUCUAAUCAGGAGAUGCUUGGUGAACACAGCAUGAGCAAAAGGAGGGGUUGGUUAUAGGAUUCCAGGAUUUAAGGCAUCAGGGCAAGCUAGACUUACCACCGGGGUCCACAAAAUCCCUGACUACGGAUCCUCCCUCUUUCUCUUUCCUCUGCCUCCCUAGCUGCCCAGCCCUUCUUCAGAUGGACAUUUCUUUCUUUAGAAACAUGACUACAUUCAUUUUAGUGCUUCCUCUGGCCCACGAUCCCUCCUUGAUUGUAUGCUUGAACUCUCAAAGCAAUCUUCAUCCCUAAUUCCUGUGCCUCCUUGGACCACCUUCCCAUUUCCUGGGGAUUUACAAAGUCUAGCCUAUAGCUUUGGGGGAGUCUGCCCCUCCCCUUGUUGUGCUGGAAUUGCCUCCCUUCUAUAAAGUGUGAGCAUGGGGCGCCUGGGUGGCGCAGUCGGUUAAGCGUCCGACUUCAGCCACGGCACGAUCUCGCGGUCCGUGAGUUCGAGCCCCGCGUCGGGCUCUGGGCUGAUGGCUCAGAGCCUGGAGCCU